AGAGCUCCGGUUGGCGCUGAUUAGCAGCGUCUCCAUGCUCGAGGGAAGGCAUGGCAAGGCUCCUCAGGGAGCUCCAGGUGCUCGCUAUGUAGUAAUGGCAGCCUGUGCUGGAGGACAGCCUCGGCAAAAUUGAGCUGUGGCUUUCAUGCUGUCCAGCAGCGAGAUGCCACACUCACGACACCGAUUUGAGGGGUAGAACUGGUUAUUUAGUUACCAUCCAUGGAUAAGUCUCGCACAGGUGGAAAAGCUGAAGGUUGUGGCACAUCCAUGUUGGGCGCCAGUCUGUGGCGAGUGCUGGUCCAGGAUGGUCAUGACAGACGGAGACGAGAGAUCUAGAGCCCGAUCUUAGGAUAUAUGGUUUAUUGUGGGGGCCCUGCUCGGAGCUGCCAGGCACAGACCGAAGCAGGCCCCAAGGAGUGGGGGCAGGGCGAGAUAGCAAAAGGGUCCAAGAGAGAGGCAAAAGAGCAAGAAGAAAAACAAAGAGAAGAGAAGAAGAUGGCCCCGGCUUCUCGGGUACACCUUAUCAAGGGGCUUGAAGGUGGAUGCGGAAAAGGACUUUGGACCAAUGGGAUUACAGAUACAUUAUACUUCAGGGGAUGGUUACAACUGCAAGACAAACUCUACAUUUUUGAGGAAUGAGACAGAACACUUUAUCUGACCCUUUGCUUUGUCUGUGGGUCAAAAAAGGGAGUUAUCUUCCACCAGCUACACCACUGCCCACUAGCUACUUAGCAACCAAGGUCUGUCAUCUCAAAGCUCUUUUUCAUCUCAAUCUGGCUCACAUUCUCUGCACUUUCCCAAUCUCCCACUAGGCAAUCAUACUUAUAAGGCCGCCUUCUUUCAUCUUCCCCAACAGGUGUCAGGUUCUAAAAAUUGUGGGGGAGGGUGUUAAUUGUUUAUUAGAGGUAUUUUACCACCUACGUAGCAGACUUGCAUCUUUGUAUUUUGACUUUGGAAGAGGUUGAGAAACAAAUUAAAGGUUAUGAAUUAGCAACAUUUCUGAUUACAUAUGCUUUUGCAUUCAAGAAUUGUAAAAGACUGAAGCAACAAUGAAGUGAGGCUUUGCAUGCAUAUAAGUGCAGUAGCCAAACUGUUGAAGCAGAUUUAGGCAAGAUCCUGAAACUUCUUAACAUUUUGUUUUCUGAAAAUUUGUUCAAGAUAAAUUUUUCCUCCCUUAAAUGAAGGAAGUUAAAUGCUCAACUGCAUGCUUUUGUAAAAUUCUGAGAUCAUCUUGUACCUGGGGACAUCACCACUAGUACCUAAACUAUAUAGCAAAGUGGUUCGAGUUUGGCCUUUAUAUGCUUUGUCCAUGCGUUUCACUGCUUGCAGUGAGUUGCAGGUAUUCCAUUGACUCAUUUGUUUUUAGAUCUUCCAGCUGUGAAUUUACAGAGUUGCAAUCUGCAAUUGAAAGGGAUGGCGGUCCAGUCCUGUGUUUGCUGCCAGAACUGGCUUUAGCUCAGCACCCUGUGUAUUGGACAGUCUUCCUGGUUUUCUAUGGGAGUGGUGUGGAAACAGAAAAAUCACUAUGAUAAGCUGCUGCUUUUUCUGAUUUCACUUUUUUAUCCUGUGUGAAUGCAUUUAUUUCUUAUGAUCCAAAACCUGCUGUCCAAGACUGAGCACCAAGAUGUUUCCUAUUACCAUCCGAGUAGCAGUUGCAUCUGGACAGUUUUCCUUAUCUCCUGUUAUAUCAAUGUCUCGCCUCGUGACUCAGAGAUAACACUCUCCAAGAGCCAGUUCUGUUUAACAGGUGAUUAAGGACACACCUUGUGACUCAAAAUAACAUCAGCCCAUUGUGAGGUGCUCUGCCCAGGGGGAGAAGCUAGGCAUUCCCACCCGGAUAAAUCCAGGGAUUUCUAGACAGAAAGGCAGCCUUUCCACAGGUUUCCAAGAAGACACAGCAACCACAUCUGCCACUCCAAGAGGACUGCAGCCACUCCAAUUUGGACUGCUACCAGCACGCUGGCCAAAGUGGGUGUCAGGUUGUAUUCUGACUUUGCCAGUGGUCUUCCUUUUGUAUCAUUGUGUGUAUUUUUGUCUUUUGUUUUCCCUUUUCCCAAUAAAUUGUAUUUCUGA